GACGAACGCUGGCGGCGUGCUUAACACAUGCAAGUCGAACGAUGAAGCCCAGCUUGCUGGGUGGAAGAGUGGCGAACGGGUGAGUAACACGUGAGUAACCUGCCUAUCACUCUGGGAUAAGCGCUGGAAACGGCGUCUAAUACUGGAUACGACCUAUCACCGCAUGGUGUGUGGGUGGAAAGAUUUAUCGGUGGUAGAUGGACUCGCGGCCUAUCAGCUUGUUGGUGAGGUAAUGGCUCACCAAGGCGACGACGGGUAGCCGGCCUGAGAGGGUGACCGGCCACACUGGGACUGAGACACGGCCCAGACUCCUACGGGAGGCAGCAGUGGGGAAUAUUGCACAAUGGGCGCAAGCCUCAUGCAGCAGCGCCGCGUGAGGGACGACGGCCUUCGGGUUGUAAACCUCUUUUAGUAGGGAAGAAGCGAAAGUGACGGUACCUGCAGAAAAAGCACCGGCUAGCUACGUGCCAGCAGCCGCCGUAA
rnacentral:rRNA from 1 species